AACCCCUGGCAAUGGGCAAAGAGACACCUGAUUGGUGUUUCUCUUAUAUCAGUCAGGGGCAAAAAAAUCGUACAGUCCUUUGUUCAUCCUAGCUUGAUGCCUGCGUUGGUGGCCAGACUAUUGCAUGCCUGAGGCACAUUA
ensembl:snoRNA